rnacentral:lncRNA from 1 species
GAGCCGUUACACUCUCCGAGAGGCGGGGGGAAAGCCGGGGGAAGAUAGCUGGGAGAACGUGGGAGCAGGCGCGGUGGCGAACGGCUUAAAACAGCUGAAGGAAUAGGUAACAGAAAGUAAAGUAAAUACAGGUGGGGUUUUUUGUUUGUUUGUUUUUGCCUUUUUUUUUUUUUUAACCUCAGGAUCGUCUGAAAUAAUGCAAGUGUGAAUGUAUACCGCUAUCAUACUAAAUAUUUGGCUUUUCAGUAUGCCAUGGAUCACUUUUUAAAAAGAAGAAAAAGAAAAUUUUGAAGUGAACUCGACCAAAGUUACUCUCAGCAUAGCAUUUAACACAUAUUCCCUUGCCAAGUUGUGUUUCAAGUCUUCCAAUCAAGUCAUCUAUAUUCAAUUACCUGAUAAGGGAGUUCUUCCAGUUUUUGCCGGUGUCAAUUGCAUAGUAGUGCUCUGUUUCACUCUAAAAGCACAGCCCUAUCUGAAAUUCACUGCAUCUGAUGAAAGUCCUUCCACUAGCCUCAGAAGGCCUUACCUGAGGCUCAUAAUCUAUGCAUUAACUCAGCUGCAAACAUCUGAGGUAGCUUAUCUAAAGAAAAAGGAUUUCGAAGUCCUUCUUGAAGUGUCGUCUGGGUUUCAUCAUCUCCCUGAUAAUAUCUGCUUCUAGACUUCCAUUGUUUGAGCGACUGCAUAAUCCUACUAGAUGGAACAGACGUGACAUGAAGAUUAGCAGCCACAAGGAGGUGGAGUUAAGAAGUAACAGCUGUGUAGAGUUCUGCAAAAACCCCAGAAGAAAAGCAGACAUGAAGGAGCUGUCCCACAACAAGUUCAGCCAAAUCAUGCAGCAAGCAGAGGGAAUAUUACAGUGUCUCAAAAAGCCUUGACCACAACUGCUGCUUAAAAACAACCUCCAAGAGGAAGAAGGUGAUGGCAACCCCCUCCUGCCCUUUGAGGCUCUAUUGGCAGGAACAACUACAGCCGGAUGCAAAAGAACAAGGAGCUGGAUUGAUCCUUCUGUUCUGGCAAGCUGAAUGCCAAGAGAGGGUCUUCAAGAGGGGGAGAAAUGGUUCUUGCCCUGCACCAAGCAACAGACGUCAAGAGCAAGAAGAUCUUUCCUCUCUUUCCUAUCUAGACUACAUGCCAUCGCCACUUCAUCACAUACCCUUAUCAGUUUGCGUACAUCAGUGGACAAACGUAGUCCUUUUCACAAGGCUGUCAUCUGGUCUUCCGUUUUCACUAUAAUUAAUCACAGAUGCAAUGGUGCUACCUGACAGAGCAGAUUUUUUUUUUUAAUUAGAGAGCAUGAACUAUAAAUAGUACUCAAGAAAACACUACCAACACAUAGCUAUAGCUCUGUUAAUGAUCUUUAACUAUAUUAUGCACAGCUGUGAUACUGAAAAAGAGACAAAAGGAAAAUUGGCCUUAAAAGGGAGUCACUCUAACUACAAUGAAGACUAGAAACUGUCAGUAUCUCAGCAUUGGAAUAACCUUGAAUAGCCUUGAACAGCCUUGAGCAACCCUUAAACAGCCCAAGCCAGGCAUAGGGUUAAGGUUAAAGGUAGGGUUACUGUAACAUUAAGGGUUGGGAGUGUCAGGACAAAGCCUAAAGCUCCACUUGGUCAGGGGCUGCCAAGUAGCUGCCAAGGCAACACGUACACUGAAAAAAAGAUUUAUCCCCUAACAACUUUUUCAGUGGAUGCAGGUCUUUGGCUAUAGAUAAGCUGAAGUAAGAUUCUGGGAUAGGGUGAGGGGAAGAACAAAGCCUAGAGCUCCAGUUAGCAUGGGACUGCCAAGAGGCUGCCAGAGGAAGGAGCAGGCAGCAAAAAGAUUUCUUCUCUGGCUCUAAUUUGAAUACAGCAGGAAAUUCAAAGAGCACUUAAGGUUAAAUAAAUUCUUCCUGGAAGAAAAAUAGGGAUUAAAG